rnacentral:rRNA from 1 species
CCCUUAGAUGUUCGGGGCCGCACGCGCGCUACACUGAAUGAAUCAGCGAGUGUAUGUCCUAGGCCGAAAGGUCCGGGUAACCCGUUGAACCUCAUUCGUGAUUGGGAUAGGGACUUGCAAUUGUUUCCCUUGAACGAGGAAUUCCCAGUAAGCGCAAGUCAUCAGCUUGCAUUGAUUACGUCCCUGCCCUUUGUACACACCGCCCGUCGCUCCUACCGAUUGAAUGAUCCGAUGAAUAUCAUGGAUUGAGGAUGCAAGCAGGUUCGCCUGUCUUCAUCUUCGAGAAGUGAAGUAAAUCUUAUCAUUUAGAGGAAGGAGAAGUCGUAACA